rnacentral:lncRNA from 1 species
GUCUGCCUUCAUCUUGUUCACCUCUUACUAAGCUGCUAGACUUGAGAGCAUGCUCACCUCAGACUCCAGGGGGACAAAGGGAGAAGAAGGCAUGUGUAGGCUUAAUCCUGAUCCCAGAGUAGGGUACCUGAAAAAGGACAGCUUGGUGGUGAAAAGGCACUGUGAAGGACCUGGAUAUGGUUGACCUCCCUGUGCUUCUUGAAGCGGUUUCCGUGGGUAGACUGGCUGCUCCCCUCCUCUGGAAAGGGUUUAUACGGUGCUCCAGAAAUUCACAAAGGAAGAAGAUGUCCACAUUUCAUAAGAUUUUAUCAUCUAAUUCUGUACCAGUGAAUACUACUCAAAAACAGGUGUCAAGUAGCAAGGGAGAUGAAUGCAAGUUAGAGUGCGGCAUAAGGAGAAUAUCUCUCUCACAGUUGUACUUAACAGUUUUGAAACCUUCAGCCCAUCAUUUCACAUCUCUGAACUAAUGAGAAACUUCUAAAUUGAAUUUGUACAAAGCAAAUCCACCGAGUCAGUGACUUUAAUAUAUCUUGAGUGGCCUGUUGGGAGAGCAGCUGGAGAGGCAGACGGCAGUCUGAGGGGUAUUGCACCAUUUACCUUCAACAUCCAACUGCCAGUGCCUGGGCAAGGCACGGGAUUUUGCCUGUGUGUAACAUACAGCAUGUGGAAAGAAACAGCCUUCUCUAGGGAGUGAUGUGAAGUAGGGGCUGAGCUUCUACCCUGCAGUGUCCUGUAUUUGCAACAGAGAGAAUGCCAGAGGAAGAUGCACUGACCCUAUAGCUACCCUACAGACACCUCUGCUGUCUUUUACCCCCUUGUGUUGUCCUUUUUCUUGAGGAACGCUGCCUUGUUCAGGCUCUGCAGGUGGAAGGGACUCUGUAUGUUCAGGCUUAUGCUUAUUUACUUUAUUUCUGUAUCCUUUCUGAGCAUGCUCUGAAGUUGUAGCCAUUACUUCCAUUCUGAACCCAAGUGAGACUUGUGUUUUAGUAAAACGCACCAUUUUAGAUGGGACAUCACAAAAGGAGAAUUUACAGUAAUCUGCUCUCAUGUUUCAUUACUCAGCGUGAAAUUUAUGUACCUGGUUUCCUUAUUUUAAGGCAUUUGCUUUUAGCUUCCCACCACUGGUACUUAAGUUUUUCUCUGCUUGUUACACUUCUCUCAUCUUUCCUUCCUCUCUUUCAUGUUCCUUAAUUUCUUCUAAAAUUGUUCAUCCAAUUUUUCCCCUUUCUUGCUUUUUGUUGGGUAAGAGCAAUCACAAAUCAGCAUCAAACAGCUGUAUGAGUUCCAGCAACUGUUUUUUA